UUAAGGGAGAGGGUGAAGGAGAUUGCUAAAGCCGCCAUAGAAGCUACGAGCGAAGGUGGCUCUUCAUGGAAUGCGUUAAGCAACCUCAUCAGUGAGAUACAGAGGGAGAAGGAAAUCAACAGCUCCAAGCUCACCACCGUUGAUAUCUGCACCAAAUAAGCAUUAUAAUCAGAAUUAGAAAGUAGUACACACACACAAUCCUCAAGUAUGACACUUUGAAGAUUAAAACAGAGUAUUUCUUAGUCUCUUUAUCUUGUCUUUUAUCAUUUCCACAAACAUAUUUCUGUCUUCAACCAAAUCAAUCAGCUAUCCAACAAUUUCAGUAGACAUAAUAGCAAACUAGUUACCAUGUAGAAAGAGCUUUUACCAAUAAUUUCUAUAUUCUUUAAAGAGACUUCCUAAUUGAGCCUUUCAACAAUUUCUUUAAAGCGCACCAGACCCUCAGUAUCAAAAAUUAUGUUAUGUUACAUAUCGGAAAUAUUGAAGUAGGACAUGGAACACACUUUGUGAUAGAAGAAUCUGACAAUUUCACUUCAAAUAUAAUGAUAUUUCGAUCUUUCACCCAUCUAGACAACACAGAAAAGACUAUUGAAAGAAAAAAAAAAAUGCAUGUGAUGCCUUCAGUUAGGCAAAUAUAUGAGCAGAAAAAGACAAUUCAAAAUUAAUUACGCAGUAGUGCUAACAUAAAAACUACUAAUUAAAGGAAAAUAAAAAUAGGGUUACCUGCAUAAAAUUAUAGAAGUAGAUAACCAAAUUAACGAAUUCACAAUUCAUCUGUUAUGGCAAAUGACCUCAAUUGAGCUUGAAACCUCGAAACCCACGAUCAUUACUUCGGAUCUUCGAUUGUUUAUAUUUCGCUUCUCCUCAAUCCUCCCCAAAACGAUCUAAUUAUGGUUCUCAUUAAACGCGGCGUUUUCGAGCAAUGUUAUUUUUUAGGGUGAAAAUGGGAUAUAGCCUUUUUGAAAGAUGAAACAUAAAAUAUACUACCACUUUUUACCAAACAAUCGGCCACUACCAAGAGAGAUCCUCUAUUCAAAAU
rnacentral:lncRNA from 1 species